AUACGUAGGGUGCAAGCGUUAAUCGGAAUUACUGGGCGUAAAGCGUGCGCAGGCGGUUUUGUAAGACAGAGGUGAAAUCCCCGGGCUCAACCUGGGAACUGCCUUUGUGACUGCAAGGCUAGAGUACGGCAGAGGGGGAUGGAAUUCCGCGUGUAGCAGUGAAAUGCGUAGAUAUGCGGAGGAACACCGAUGGCGAAGGCAAUCCCCUGGGCCUGUACUGACGCUCAUGCACGAAAGCUUGGGGAGCAAACAGGAUUAGAUACCCUGGUAGUCCACGCCCUAAACGAUGUCAACUGGUUGUUGGGUCUUAACUGACUCAGUAACGAAGCUAACGCGUGAAGUUGACCGCCUGGGGAGUACGGCCGCAAGGUUGAAACUCAAAUGAAUUGACGGGG
rnacentral:rRNA from 1 species